rnacentral:rRNA from 1 species
UGCCAGACUCCUACGGGAGGCAGCAGUGGGGAAUAUUGCACAAUGGGGGAAACCCUGAUGCAGCAACGCCGCGUGAGUGAAGAAGUAUUUCGGUAUGUAAAGCUCUAUCAGCAGGGAAGAGAAUGACGGUACCUGACUAAGAAGCCCCGGCUAACUACGUGCCAGCAGCCGCGGUAAUACGUAGGGGGCGAGCGUUAUCCGGAUUUACUGGGUGUAAAGGGAGCGUAGACGGUUCUGCAAGUCUGAAGUGAAAGCCCGUGGCUUAACCGCGGAACGGCUUUGGAAACUGUGGAACUGGAGUGCUGGAGAGGCAAGCGGAAUUCCUAGUGUAGCGGUGAAAUGCGUAGAUAUAAGGAAGAACACCAGUGGCGAAGGCGGAUUACUGGACGAUAACUGACGGUGAGGCUCGAAAGCGUGGGGAGCAAACAGGAUUAGAUACCCGGGUAC